AACGAACGCUGGCGGCAGGCUUAACACAUGCAAGUCGAGCGCCCCGCAAGGGGAGCGGCAGACGGGUGAGUAACGCGUGGGAAUCUACCCAUCCCUACGGAAUAGCUCCGGGAAACUGGAAUUAAUACCGUAUACGCCCUACGGGGGAAAGAUUUAUCGGGGAUGGAUGAGCCCGCGUUGGAUUAGCUAGUUGGUGGGGUAAAGGCCUACCAAGGCGACGAUCCAUAGCUGGUCUGAGAGGAUGAUCAGCCACAUUGGGACUGAGACACGGCCCAAACUCCUACGGGAGGCAGCAGUGGGGAAUAUUGGACAAUGGGGGCAACCCUGAUCCAGCCAUGCCGCGUGAGUGAUGAAGGCCUUAGGGUUGUAAAGCUCUUUCACCGGGGAAGAUAAUGACGGUACCCGGAGAAGAAGCCCCGGCUAACUUCGUGCCAGCCGCCGCGGUAA
rnacentral:rRNA from 1 species